rnacentral:rRNA from 1 species
AGAGUUUGAUCCUGGCUCAGGACGAACGCUGGCGGCGUGCUUAACACAUGCAAGUCGAACGGUGAACCUGCUUCGGUGGGGGAUCAGUGGCGAACGGGUGAGUAACACGUGGGCAACCUGCCCUCAGCUCUGGGAUAACUCCAAGAAAUUGGGGCUAAUACUGGAUAUGACCGCUGACCGCAUGGUCUGGUGGUGGAAAGAUUUAUCGGCUGGGGAUGGGCCCGCGGCCUAUCAGCUUGUUGGUGGGGUAGUGGCCUACCAAGGCGACGACGGGUAGCCGGCCUGAGAGGGUGACCGGCCACACUGGGACUGAGACACGGCCCAGACUCCUACGGGAGGCAGCAGUGGGGAAUAUUGCGCAAUGGGCGAAAGCCUGACGCAGCGACGCCGCGUGGGGGAUGACGGCCUUCGGGUUGUAAACCUCUUUCAGCAGGGACGAAGCGAAAGUGACGGUACCUGCAGAAGAAGCACCGGCCAACUACGUGCCAGCAGCCGCGGUAAUAC